rnacentral:rRNA from 1 species
ACUCAAAUGAAUAGACGGGGGCCCGCACAAGCGGUGGAGCAUGUGGUUUAAUUCGACGCAACGCGCAGAACCUUACCAGGCCUUGACAUCCUGUGCUCGCCGGAGAGAUCCGGUUUCCCCGCAAGGGGCGCAGAGACAGGUGCUGCAUGGCUGUCGUCAGCUCGUGUCGUGAGAUGUUGGGUUAAGUCCCGCAACGAGCGCAACCCUCGCCUUUAGUUGCCAUCAUUAAGUUGGGCACUCUAAAGGGACCGCCGGCGACAAGCCGGAGGAAGGUGGGGAUGACGUCAAGUCCUCAUGGCCCUUACGGCCUGGGCUACACACGUGCUACAAUGGCGGUGACAAUGGGCAGCUAACCCGCGAGGGCAAGCUAAUCCCAAAAAACCGUCCCAGUUCAGAUUGCACUCUGCAACUCGGGUGCAUGAAGGUGGAAUCGCUAGUAAUCGCAGAACAGCAGGCUGCGGUGAAUACGUUCCCGGGCCUUGUACACACCGCCCGU